rnacentral:rRNA from 1 species
GGGGGGGGGCUAAACAUGCAGUCGAACGGUGACCCGCUUCGGUGGGGGAUCAGUGGCGAACGGGUGAGUAAACGAGGGCAACCUGCCCCUGACUCUGGGAUAACCCCGGGAAACCGGAGCUAAUACCGGAUACGACUCGUGCGGGCAUCCGUGCGGGUGGAAAGUUUUUCGGUCGGGGAUGGGCUCGCGGCCUAUCAGCUUGUUGGUGGGGUGAUGGCCUACCAAGGCGACGACGGGUAGCCGGCCUGAGAGGGCGACCGGCCACACUGGGACUGAGACACGGCCCAGACUCCUACGGGAGGCAGCAGUGGGGAAUAUUGCGCAAUGGGCGAAAGCCUGACGCAGCGACGCCGCGUGGGGGACGACGGCCUUCGGGUUGUAAACCUCUUUCAGCGCCGAAGAAGCGAGAGUGACGGUAGGCGCAGAAGAAGCACCGGCUAACUACGUGCCUUCAGCCGCG